CGUAACCCUUUACCGUGGGCUUUGACAUUGUUCGUGGUUAGUGAAGCGAAAGCGGAUUCGACCCUUCGGGGAGCGUUCACAGGUGCUGCAUGGCUGUCGUCAGCUCGUGCCGUGAGGUGUUCGGUUAAGUCCGGUAACGAGCGCAACCCUUUGCUGUUAGUUACAAGUGUCUAACGGGACUGCCGGUUUAAUACCGGAGGAAGUGGGGAUGACGUCAAGUCAGCAUGGCCUCUAUGUCCAGGGCUACACACACGCUACAAUGGCCGGUACAGUGGGUUGCCAAACCGCGAGGUGGAGCUAAUCCUCAAAGCCGGUCUCAGUUCGGAUUGUAGGCUGCAACUCGCCUGCAUGAAGUCGGAGUUGCUAGUAACCGCGCGUCAGCUAUAGCGCGGUGAAUACGUUCCCGGGCCUU
rnacentral:rRNA from 1 species